rnacentral:rRNA from 1 species
UACGUAGGGGGCUAGCGUUAUCCGGAAUUACUGGGCGUAAAGGGUGCGUAGGUGGUUUCUUAAGUCAGAGGUGAAAGGCUACGGCUCAACCGUAGUAAGCCUUUGAAACUGGGGAACUUGAGUGCAGGAGAGGAGAGUGGAAUUCCUAGUGUAGCGGUGAAAUGCGUAGAUAUUAGGAGGAACACCAGUUGCGAAGGCGGCUCUCUGGACUGUAACUGACACUGAGGCACGAAAGCGUGGGGAGCAAACAGG